CUUUUUUAUUUCUAUUAUCAAUUUGUGCUAUGAUUUAUUAGAAUCUGUAUGAAACGUAUUUCAUUUAUUUAAUAAUAUGAUAUUUUUUCUAAACCAUACAAGAGCAAUGAACUGGGUAAGAUGCUUUUAUGUUCUUUGAUGUGUGGUCUCGAUUGAUCAAAUUCCAUCAUCAGGUGACAUCGAAGAGAUUUAGUCAAGAUGAUGAUGAUGAUGCGGGUCUGUUUUCUCUGAUUGAAGAGAUGUUAAGGAAUGAAGUAGACGGUGC